UGGGGAAUAUUGGACAAUGGGCGCAAGCCUGAUCCAGCCAUGCCGCGUGAGUGAUGAAGGCCUUAGGGUUGUAAAGCUCUUUCACCGGAGAAGAUAAUGACGGUAUCCGGAGAAGAAGCCCCGGCUAACUUCGUGCCAGCAGCCGCGGUAAUACGAAGGGGGCUAGCGUUGUUCGGAAUUACUGGGCGUAAAGCGCACGUAGGCGGAUAUUUAAGUCAGGGGUGAAAUCCCAGAGCUCAACUCUGGAAC
rnacentral:rRNA from 1 species